UGGGGAACCUGCCCCAUAGUCUGGGAUACCACUUGGAAACAGGUGCUAAUACCGGAUAAGAAAGCAGAUCGCAUGAUCAGCUUUUAAAAGGCGGCGUAAGCUGUCGCUAUGGGAUGGCCCCGCGGUGCAUUAGCUAGUUGGUAAGGUAAAGGCUUACCAAGGCGAUGAUGCAUAGCCGAGUUGAGAGACUGAUCGGCCACAUUGGGACUGAGACACGGCCCAAACUCCUACGGGAGGCAGCAGAA
rnacentral:rRNA from 1 species